rnacentral:rRNA from 1 species
UACAGAGGGUGCGAGCGUUAAUCGGAAUUACUGGGCGUAAAGCGUGCGUAGACGGUUUCGUAAGUCGGGUGUGAAAGCCCCGGGCUCAACCUGGGAAUUGCAUUCGAGACUGCGUAGCUAGGGUGCGGAAGAGGGAAGCGGAAUUUCCGGUGUAGCGGUGAAAUGCGUAGAUAUGCGGAGGAACACCGAUGGCGAAGGCAGCCCCCUGGGCUGACACUGACGCUCAGGCACGAAAGCGUGGGGAGCAAACAGG